rnacentral:rRNA from 1 species
ACUCCUACGGGAGGCAGCAGUGGGGAAUAUUGCACAAUGGGGAAACCCUGAUGCAGCCAUGCCGCGUGUGUGAAGAAGGCCUCGGUUGUAAAGCACUUCAGUAGGGAGGAAGGUAGUGUAGUUAACACCUGCACUAUUUGACGUUACCUACAGAAGAAGCACCGGCUAACUCCGUGCCAGCAGCCGCGGUAAUACGGAGGGGUGCGAGCGUUAAUCGGAAUUACUGGGCGUAAAGCGCAUGCAGGCGGCCUGUUAAGUCAGAUGUGAAAGCCCGGGGGCUUAACCUCGGAAUUGCAUUUGAAACUGGCAGGCUAGAGUCUUGUAGAGGGGGUAGAAUUUCAGGUGUAGCGGUGAAAUGCGUAGAGAUCUGAAGGAAUACCAGUGGCGAAGGCGGCCCCCUGGACAAAGACUGACGCUCAGAUGCGAAAGCGUGGGGAGCAAACAGGAUUAGAUACCCUGGUAGACUGUCA